rnacentral:rRNA from 1 species
AACGAACGCUGGCGGCACGCCUAACACAUGCAAGUCGAACGAGAUCCUUCGGGGUCUAGUGGCGCACGGGUGCGUAACGCGUGGGAAUCUGCCCUUAGGUUCGGAAUAACAGUUAGAAAUGACUGCUAAUACCGGAUGAUGACGUUAAGUCCAAAGAUUUAUCGCCUGAGGAUGAGCCCGCGUAGGAUUAGCUAGUUGGUGUGGUAAAGGCGCACCAAGGCGACGAUCCUUAGCUGGUCUGAGAGGAUGAUCAGCCACACUGGGACUGAGACACGGCCCAGACUCCUACGGGAGGCAGCAGUGGGGAAUAUUGGACAAUGGGCGCAAGCCUGAUCCAGCAAUGCCGCGUGAGUGAUGAAGGCCUUAGGGUUGUAAAGCUCUUUUACCCGGGAUGAUAAUGACAGUACCGGGAGAAUAAGCCCCGGCUAACUCCGUG